rnacentral:rRNA from 1 species
CACUGGUCGAGUGAUCCUGCGCCGAAGAUUUCCGGGGCUAAAACUUACUACCGAAGCUACGGCAUCAGUAAUGAUGGGUAGGGGAGCUUCCCAUACGGGUUGAAGCAUGACCGUAAGGACAUGUGGACAGUAUGGGAGUGAGAAUGUUGGCAUGAGUAGCGAGAUGUUGGUGAGAAUCCCACAGGCCGUAAACCCAAGGUUUCCAGGGGAAGGUUCGUCCGCCCUGGGUUAGUCGGGACCUAAGCUGAGGCCGAAAGGCGUAGGUGAUGGACAACAGGUUGAUAUUCCUGUACUACCGAUAACCGUUUG